rnacentral:lncRNA from 1 species
ACAACUGAUCCGAUGGGUGCGCCUAACCCUUUAGAUAGGCAUACCUGCGCAUAAUGUUUCAGAGAAAUGAGUAGAAUCACCGCCCGCAUAUGUUACUACCUGAAGGUCGGUCAUUUCAUACGCAUGCCUGUUGCGAAUUGACCGCAGAACCCAGCGACUUGAGAACGUACCGAAACUGAGUCGGCAGCUUUUACAAGUCUAUGUACAGGAACUCCCAGUGCCUGAAGCAUGGAAAUGUAUUUCGUAAGCAGGUGUCCC